rnacentral:rRNA from 1 species
GAUGAACGCUGGCGGCGUGCCUAAUACAUGCAAGUCGAGCGAACAGACGAGGAGCUUGCUCCUCUGACGUUAGCGGCGGACGGGUGAGUAACACGUGGAUAACCUACCUAUAAGACUGGGAUAACUUCGGGAAACCGGAGCUAAUACCGGAUAACAUGUUGAACCGCAUGGUUCAACAGUGAAAGACGGUCUUGCUGUCACUUAUAGAUGGAUCCGCGCCGCAUUAGCUAGUUGGUAAGGUAACGGCUUACCAAGGCAACGAUGCGUAGCCGACCUGAGAGGGUGAUCGGCCACACUGGAACUGAGACACGGUCCAGACUCCUACGGGAGGCAGCAGUAGGGAAUCUUCCGCAGUGGGCGAAAGCCUGACGGAGCAACGCCGCGUGAGUGAAGAAGGUCUUCGGAUCGUAAAACUCUGUUAUUAGGGAAGAACAAAUGUGUAAGUAACUAUGCACGUCUUGACGGUACCUAAUCAGAAAGCCACGGCUAACUACGUG